CAGAGCCGUACCUAUUUAUCUACUCACACUCUGUGGGUUGGUGCUCAUCUCUAUUUCUAAGCCGACGAGCUGGCAUUGUCCAUAGACACCUGCAAGGUCCCUAAAAAAAAAAAAAAAAAAAAUCAGCACGCGCCAGAACGGGCUCGCUUACUCAGUCCAGGCAACGUGGUUGCUAAUGGUUAACCCGCCCGCCCACGAGUUAACCCUCUUUCCCAGCUUCUUGGCGCAGAAGAAGGCCGGGAGUGUGUGGCACCACGAUCCAUCCCGUAAACAAUUUGCCUUCAGUUUCCAACUUGAAGAACAAGUUCUCCUUUGUCGCCGAGAGAACAAAACGCUGAGGACGUUUGUCGUGCACUUUGCCCUCCUCCUCCUCCUCCUCCGAUGACGACAACGACAAUUAAAUGUGUUACCUUGGAGCUGAGGACGAUCAAAAGUCGCCGUGUAAUAUAUAUAUACACAAGGGAGGAGUGUGUCCGUCCACUUCGGAGCAACGAAACAACACGAAAAGCGAGGUAUGUGCUUUGUAGAUGUCUUCUACUUUUCUCGGCUGGGUUUGCUUUGUUUUCUUCACGCAUCCCGAACGCGUCUCGGGCGCUUUAGAGCAAGUUUGGCAACCUCGGACAAGCUCGUACAAGAACCGCCGUGUAGUUUGUACGGUUGCAACAGAACCGCACGGCACCUGGACGUCUCGUCGUCUUGGUAUUUCGGCACGUGCUGGUUCUUGCUCGAGCGGAUACGGUGGGUGAAACGUGGUCGCUGGGGUGGAAUGUUUGGUCCUAAACGCACUCUUUCCUUGCAGAAAAGCUAUCGGAGUUUCCGGCUUUCCUUGCUGUCGAAGUCGCCUUGGAUUUCGUUGGAAACCCACUUCGAAGAACGUCAAUUCGGCGUUGUAGGUGCUGCGGAAAAAGACAAAGAAGAGAGCCAAAGAGUAACAACAAAAGUAAACCGAGAGAAUUAUUCAUUGUGUUCCCAAAGAAACACAGAUUCCUAGAAUUAUAGACCACGCUGUCAAAACUAUACAGAUCUUCUGUAAGAUCUUGCCAUCUUUUCUUGACUUCUUCAGCUGGGAUCCUGUUGUCUCCUACUGCCUUGUUAUUAUCAAUGCUUCUUAAGGCCCAUUCAACCUCACUUUUAAGCAAAGAUUCCUAGAAUUAUAGACGACACUGUCAAAGCUGUCCUCAGUAUAAUUGUCAUCUUUCCUAUACGGAUCUUCUGUAUAAUCUUGCCAUCUCGACUUCUUCAGCUGGAAUCCCGUCGUCUCCUACUGCCUUGUUAUUAGGAGUGCUUCUUAAGGUCCAUUCA
rnacentral:lncRNA from 11 species